rnacentral:rRNA from 1 species
UGGGGAAUUUUGGCCAAUGGGGGAAACCCUGCUCCAGCCAUCCCGCGUGUGCGAUGAAGGCCUUCGGGUUGUAAAGCACUUUUGGCAGGAAAGAAACGUCAUGGGUUAAUACCCCGUGAAACUGACGGUACCUGCAGAAUAAGCACCGGCUAACUACGUGCCAGCAGCCGCGGUAAUACGUAGGGUGCAAGCGUUAAUCGGAAUUACUGGGCGUAAAGCGUGCGCAGGCGGUUCGGAAAGAAAGAUGUGAAAUCCCAGAGCUCAACUUUGGAACUGCAUUUUUAACUACCGGGCUAGAGUGUGUCAGAGGGAGGUGGAAUUCCGCGUGUAGCAGUGAAAUGCGUAGAUAUGCGGAGGAACACCGAUGGCGAAGGCAGCCUCCUGGGAUAACACUGACGCUCAUGCACGAAAGCGUGGGGAGCAAACAGG